rnacentral:rRNA from 1 species
GUCGAACGCUGGCGGCGUGCUUAACACAUGCAAGUCGAACGAAAAGAGGGAAAGAGCUUGCUCUUUCCGGAAUUGAGUGGCAAACGGGUGAGUAACACGUAAACAACCUGCCUUCAGGAUGGGGACAACAGACGGAAACGACUGCUAAUACCGAAUAAGUUCCAAGAGCCGCAUGGCCCAUGGAAGAAAAGGUGGCCUCUACCUGUAAGCUAUCGCCUGAAGAGGGGUUUGCGUCUGAUUAGCUGGUUGGGGGGGUAACGGCCCACCAAGGCGACGAUCAGUAGCCGGUCUGAGAGGAUGAACGGCCACACUGGAACUGAGACACGGUCCAGACUCCUACGGGAGGCAGCAGUGGGGAAUCUUCCGCAAUGGGCGAAAGCCUGACGGAGCAACGCCGCGUGAGUGAUGACGGCCUUCGGGUUGUAAAACUCUGUGAUCCGGGACGAAAAGGCAGAGUGCGAAGAACAAACUGCAUUGACGGUACCGGAAAAGCAAGCCACGGCUAACUACGUG